rnacentral:rRNA from 1 species
AGUAAGGAAUAUUGGUCAAUGGGCGGGAGCCUGAACCAGCCAUGCCGCGUGCAGGAAGACGGCCUUAUGGGUUGUAAACUGCUUUUGUCAGGGAAUAAACCUAUCUACGCGUAGAUAGCUGAAGGUACCUGAAGAAUAAGCAUCGGCUAACUCCGUGCCAGCAGCCGCGGUAAUACGGAGGAUGCAAGCGUUAUCCGGAUUCAUUGGGUUUAAAGGGUGCGCAGGCGGAUUGGUAAGUCAGUGGUGAAAUUCUAGUGCUUAACAUUAGACCUGCCAUUGAUACUGUCAGUCUAGAGUAUAGUUGGAGUGGGCGGAAUGUGUCAUGUAGCGGUGAAAUGCUUAGAUAUGACACAGAACACCGAUCGCGAAGGCAGCUCACUAAGCUAAAACUGACGCUCAUGCACGAAAGCGUGGGGAUCAAACAGGAUUAGAUACCCUGGUAGUCCACGCUGUAAACGAUGAUUACUCGAUGUUGGCGAUACACAGUCAGCGUCUGAACGAAAGUAUUAAGUAAUCCACCUGGGGAGUACGUUCGCAAGGAUGAAACUCAAAGGA